UACGGGAGGUAGCAGUGGGGAAUAUUGCACAAUGGGCGCAAGCCUGAUGCAGCCAUGCCGCGUGUAUGAAGAAGGCCUUUCGGGUUGUAAAGUACUUUCAGUCGUGAGGAAGGUGUUAAGGUUAAUAACCUUAGCAAUUGACGUUAGCGACAGAAGAAGCACCGGCUAACUCCGUGCCAGCAGCCGCGGUAAUACGGAGGGUGCGAGCGUUAAUCGGAAUUACUGGGCGUAAAGGGCACGCAGGCGGUUAAUUAAGUUGGAUGUGAAAUCCCCGGGCUUAACCUGGGAAUGGCAUUCAAGACUGGUUAGCUAGAGUCUUGUAGAGGGGGUAGAAUUCCAUGUGUAGCGGUGAAAUGCGUAGAGAUGUGGAGGAAUACCGGUGGCGAAGGGCGGGCCCCUGGACAAAGGACUGACGCUCAUGUGCGAAAGCGUGGGGAGCAAACAGGGAUUAGAUACC
rnacentral:rRNA from 1 species